rnacentral:rRNA from 1 species
ACACAUGCAGUCGAGCGGAAGAGAGAAGCUUGCUUCUCAAUUCAGCGGCGGACGGGUGAGUAAUGCCUAGGAAUCUGCCUGGUAGUGGGGGACAACGUUUCGAAAGGAACGCUAAUACCGCAUACGUCCUACGGGAGAAAGCAGGGGACCUUCGGGCCUUGCGCUAUCAGAUGAGCCUAGGUCGGAUUAGCUAGUUGGUGGGGUAAUGGCUCACCAAGGCGACGAUCCGUAACUGGUCUGAGAGGAUGAUCAGUCACACUGGAACUGAGACACGGUCCAGACUCCUACGGGAGGCAGCAGUGGGGAAUAUUGGACAAUGGGCGAAAGCCUGAUCCAGCCAUGCCGCGUGUGUGAAGAAGGUCUUCGGAUUGUAAAGCACUUUAAGUUGGGAGGAAGGGCAGUAAAUUAAUACUUUGCUGUUUUGACGUUACCGACAGAAUAAGCACCGGCUAACUCUGUGCCAGCAGCCGCGGUAAUACAGAGGGUGCAAGCGUUAAUCGGAAUUACUGGGCGUAAAGCGCGCGUAGGUGGUUUGUUAAGUUGGAUGUGAAAUCCCCGGGCUCAACCUGGGAACUGCAUUCAAAACUGACAAGCUAGAGUAUGGUAGAGGGUGGUGGAAUUUCCUGUGUAGCGGUGAAAUGCGUAGAUAUAGGAAGGAACACCAGUGGCG